GAGAAUGGGAAAAAGCAAGACGGCGCAGGCUGUGAGGAGGGCGUGGGGGCAGCCUGGCACUCAGCUCCUAGCGUGCUCCUGGGGUUUCAGCUUCGUAUGGCUGUGUCGCCUCCAAAGGUCAAUGCCUUGUGUGUCCAGGUGAAGUGGAACCCAAGGGAGAAGAGCCACGGGUCUCCAUGGACUGCCUUGACGGCCCCAGAGACCAGGCCACCAGGGGACAGGCCUGACAAGGCCACCCAUCUCUGGCCACCCUGGCUUUGGGUCAGCAGAGGACAAGGAGGGAGACAGCUGACUGGACUCACUUCCCGGGCCAGGCCGGCUGCUCCUUCCUGCAUUGGCCCCCCUGCCCCCAGCUGGUGGGGGUGGCUGGGCGCUGGCAGUGCUGCCCUGCUGCACCCCUGCCCUCAGGGAGCGGCCUGACCACUUCUGAUGGCUGCAGCGCACGAGUGCAAGAGAAGGCUCGAAGCGUCUUCGACGAUUUAGAAGCGGCACGCGCAGGUGAAGGCGAUCGUGAUGAAGAGUUUGUUGUGAGUCGGGAGUGGAGGCGGCUGAAGAGAGGAUUUGUGAGCUGGAAAAUCAGUCAGUGGAAAGUAGCCCUGCGCACACCACCACGAGUACCGUGCACUGUGCUUACGACAGCCCUUGUUGAAGGCAUUUUCGGCAUGUUGGGAGGCCAUUUUCCUGCCCCAGUGAAUAGAGUUUUGUGGCAUUGGG